rnacentral:lncRNA from 1 species
AAGCAAUCCCCUAGUGACUUCUUAGAGCACAUCAUCAGACAGUUGGGGUAAAAUUCUGAAGUGGAUUAAGGGAGGGGUGCUGGUUUGCCUGGAUGGCUACAUGAACAUAGCCCUGGAACCAACCAAAUAUGUAACUGGACAACAGAAAAAUAAGUACAGGGUGCAUUAAUCAGAGGCAACAAUGUUUUGUACUUAAGUACACAGAAGACACGAUGUGA